AUAAGUGCUGAAAGCAUCUAAGCAUGAAGCCCCCCUCAAGAUGAGAUUUCCCAUAGCGUAAGCUAGUAAGAUCCCUGAAAGAUGAUCAGGUUGAUAGGUUCGAGGUGGAAGCAUGGUGACAUGUGGAGCUGACGAAUACUAAUAGAUCGAGGACUUAACCAUAUAA
rnacentral:rRNA from 1 species